rnacentral:misc_RNA from 1 species
UCAUCAUGAGAAUGAUGAUGGUGGUGAUGAUCGUGAUCAUGAUCGUCGUCAUGGUGAUGGUCAUCAUCAUGGUCAUGAUGGUGAUCAUGAGCAGCU